AGAUUGAACGCUGGCGGCAUGCUUUACACAUGCAAGUCGAGCGGCAGCGCGGGUGAGGGCAACCGAGCCUGGCGGCGAGCGGCGAACGGGUGAGUAAUAGAUAGGAACGUAUCCGGGAGUGGGGGAUAACUAGCCGAAAGGUUAGCUAAUACCGCAUAUUCUCUUAGGAGGAAAGCGGGGGACUCCUAAACCGAGCACACCGGGUGGUGUGUUGGGUUUAGGAGCCUCGCGCUCGCGGAGUGGCCUAUCUCCGAUUAGCUAGUUGGUGAGGUAAAGCUCACAAGGCGACGAUCGGUAGCUGGUCUGGAGAGGAUGGAUCAGCCACACGUGGGACUGAGACACGGCCCAGACUCCUACGGGAGCAGCAGUGGGUAAUUUGGCAAGUCGGGGGCAACCCGUGA
rnacentral:rRNA from 1 species